rnacentral:rRNA from 1 species
CCCUUAGAUGUUCUGGGCAGCACGCGCGCUACAAUGGUCUUCGCAAACGGAUGCAUUCUCGAAGGAGGAUGCCAAUCUUGGAAUCUAUGCCUUGGUCGGGACAGUUGCUUGCAAUUUUUCGACUCGAACCAGGAAUUCCUUGUAAUCGUGAUUCAUCACAUCACGAUGAAUACGUCCCUGCCCUUUGUACACACCGCCCGUCGCUCCUACCGAUCGAAGAGUUAGGUGAAUUGUUUUGAUCGAUAAGAUUUGACUAUGGUCAACUCUCGUUGUGAAAUUCUGUGAAUCCGACUGUUUAGAGGAAGGAAAAGUCGUAACA